rnacentral:rRNA from 1 species
UGGGGAAUAUUGCACAAUGGGCGAAAGCCUGAUGCAGCGACGCCGCGUGCGGGAUGAAGGCCUUCGGGUUGUAAACCGCUUUUAAUUGGGAGCAAGCGAGAGUGAGUGUACCUUUUGAAUAAGCACCGGCUAACUACGUGCCAGCAGCCGCGGUAAUACGUAGGGUGCAAGCGUUAUCCGGAAUUAUUGGGCGUAAAGAGCUCGUAGGCGGUUUGUCACGCCUGGUGUGAAAGUCCAUCGCUUAACGGUGGAUCUGCGCCGGGUACGGGCAGGCUAGAGUGCAGUAGGGGAGAUUGGAAUUCCCGGUGUAACGGUGGAAUGUGUAGAUAUCGGGAAGAACACCAAUGGCGAAGGCAGAUCUCUGGGCUGUUACUGACGCUGAGGAGCGAAAGCAUGGGGAGCGAACAGGAUUAGAUACCCUGGUAGUCCAUGCCGUAAAACGGUGGAUGCUGGAUGUGGGACCCUUCCACGGGUUCCGUGUCGGAGCUAACGCGUUAAGCAUCCCGCCUGGGGGAGUACGG